rnacentral:lncRNA from 1 species
UCCUACACAUUCUUUCUGUACUCUGCUUUUUUGCAGUGCUUUCACCUAUGCCAUCUGUGAUGUUUGUAUUUCUUGAUGACCUUUUCAACAGUUUGUUGUUCUCAUUCUUCUGGCCGUGUGAGAGAGAUGGAAUUCUCCAAGGAAAGCUACUUGAACAUAUGGCAAGUACAUUUAUUUCAUGGAUCUCACCAUGCCAGGCAGUGCCCAGGCUGGCAGUGGUGCUGGGAGGAUUGCUGCUUGUCAGACAGCACCAGGGUGGCAGAGCAGGCUGUCUGUCCUCAGAAGCUGCAGAUCACACUGGGAAUUUGGAGAUGCCACUGCUGUCCCUAGCAAGGACAGAGAGGGAGCUGGAGGGUGAGAAGUGGGCUGCUGGCCAUCCACAACUGCAGAAAGCUCCACCAAUUCUUCUCAGGCAUGAUGCUGCAUUGUUGGUUCCCAUGAGCAAGAGAGGAUCUCACUGACCAAGCUGUUGCAAAAAGGCCAGCUGAGUGUUGUGGUUCCAUAAAAUUCACUCCUCGUGGACAUACGUGGCUUUCUGCCUGUGUUUACUGUGCAGGAACACAUCUUCAGGCUUUAAUCUUUGCAAGUCCCUCUUCUUUCUUACACUCACACACAGCACAUUUUUAAUCAAGUACUGUGAAUAGCAUAUCAGAGGAAGUGGUUGACCUUCAGAUCAAUGCGGCAGAUAACCUCCUCCAUUUAUUACAUUUGAGAAAAAUCAUGUUUCUAUCAACUUUGAUAAAGAACAAAACCAGAAAUAUCUGGAAAAAUCUCCAGCAUGUUUCAAAUGUUUUGUUCCUGUUGGUUUCAGCAGCGCUGCUUCAGAGCCCUUCUGUAAUACCAAAUUCCAAAUAUUCCAGGGAGCGGGGAGCGUGUGCCCGAGGAAAGCACGCACAAAACCAAUUCUGUUAUUCUGUGUUUACUUACUCUGUGGAGUUGUCUCAAAGCACCAACUACAAUCUGCAAAAACAAGAUUGCUUCCCUCUGGACCCAACUUGCAUAAAUAUUUCAGUGGAUAGAUACAUAAAUUUUGAAAAAAAAAUAAAAAAAUCUUGUGGUAAAUAGAAAGGAAAUAA